rnacentral:rRNA from 1 species
AGCGAACGCUGGCGGUAGGCCUAACACAUGCAAGUCGAACGGCAGCACAGGAGAGCUUGCUCUCUGGGUGGCGAGUGGCGGACGGGUGAGGAAUACAUCGGAAUCUGCCCAGUCGUGGGGGAUAACGUAGGGAAACUUACGCUAAUACCGCAUACGACCUUCGGGUGAAAGAGGGGGAUCGCAAGACCUCUCGCGAUUGGAUGAGCCGAUGUCGGAUUAGCUAGUUGGCGGGGUAAUGGCCCACCAAGGCGACGAUCCGUAGCUGGUCUGAGAGGAUGAUCAGCCACACUGGAACUGAGACACGGUCCAGACUCCUACGGGAGGCAGCAGUGGGGAAUAUUGGACAAUGGGCGCAAGCCUGAUCCAGCCAUACCGCGUGGGUGAAGAAGGCCUUCGGGUUGUAAAGCCCUUUUGUUGGGAAAGAAAUCGUUCAGGCUAAUACCCUGGGAGGAUGACGGUACCCAAAGAAUAAGCACCGGCUAACUUCGUG